rnacentral:rRNA from 1 species
GUGGGGAAUAUUGGACAAUGGGCGAAAGCCUGAUCCAGCCAUGCCGCGUGUGUGAAGAAGGUCUUCGGAUUGUAAAGCACUUUAAGUUGGGAAGAACCGUCCUCAUUAAUGAGUGACCUGACGGUACCAUAGGAAUAAGCACCGGCUAACUUCGUGCCAGCAGCCGCGGUAAUACGAAGGGUGCAAGCGUUAAUCGGAAUUACUGGGCGUAAAGCGCGCGUAGGUGGUUCAGUAAGUUGGAAGUGAAAUCCCCGGGCUCAACCUGGGAACUGCUUUCAAAACUGCUGAGCUAGAGUACGGUAGAGGGUAGUGGAAUUUCCUGGGUAGCGGUGAAAUGCGUAGAUAUAGGAAGGAACACCAGUGGCGAAGGCGACUACCUGGACUGAUACUGACACUGAGGUGCGAAAGCGUGGGGAGCAAACAGGAUUAGAAACCCUAGUAGUCC